GGGAAAGUAGCUCAGUGGUAGAGUGCUUGCCUUGCAUGCAUGAGGCUCCGGGUUCGAUUCCUCAGCACCA
rfam:Dipodomys ordii contig_37638, whole genome shotgun sequence.